GAGUUUGAUUCUGGCUCAGGAUGAACGCUGGCGGCAUGCCUAACACAUGCAAGUUGAACGAGAAGUUCUGGAGGGAGUCUUCGGACGAACGAAGGAAUGGAAAGUAGCGAACGGGUGAGUAACGCGUGGGCAACCAACCUUACACAGGGGGAUAACGCAGAGAAAUUUGCGCUAAUACCGCAUAAGCGCACAGUACCGCAUGGUACGGUGUGAAAAACUCCGGUGGUGUAAGACGGGCCCGCGUCUGAUUAGUUAGUUGGUGAGGUAAAAGCUCACCAAGGCGACGAUCAGUAGCCGACCUGAGAGGGUGAUCGGCCACAUUGGGACUGAGACACGGCCCAAACUCCUACGGGAGGCAGCAGUGGGGGAUAUUGCACAAUGGAGGAAACUCUGAUGCAGCAAUGCCGCGUGAAGGAAGACGGUUUUCGGAUUGUAAACUUCUAUCAGCAGGGAAGAAAAUGACG
rnacentral:rRNA from 1 species